CCUACGGGUGGCAGCAGUCGAGAAUCAUUCACAAUGGGGGAAACCCUGAUGGUGCGACGCCGCGUGGGGGAAUGAAGGUCUUCGGAUUGUAAACCCCUGUCAUGUGGGAGCAAAUUAAAAAGAUAGUACCACAAGAGGAAGAGACGGCUAACUCUGUGCCAGCAGCCGCGGUAAUACAGAGGUCUCAAGCGUUGUUCGGAAUCACUGGGCGUAAAGCGUGCGUAGGCUGUUUCGUAAGUCGUGUGUGAAAGGCGCGGGCUCAACCCGCGGACGGCACAUGAUACUGCGAGACUAGAGUAAGGGAGGGGGAACCGGAAUUCUCGGUGUAGCAGUGAAAUGCGUAGAUAUCGAGAGGAACAUUCGUGGCGAAGGCGGGUUCCUGGACAUUAACUGACGCUGAGGCACGAAGGCCAGGGGAGCGAAAGGGAUUAGAUACCCGAGUAGUC
rnacentral:rRNA from 1 species